AACGAACGCUGGCGGCAGGCUUAACACAUGCAAGUCGAGCGCCCCGCAAGGGGAGCGGCAGACGGGUGAGUAACGCGUGGGAACCUACCGAGCCCUGCGGAAUAGCUCCGGGAAACUGGAAUUAAUACCGCAUACGCCCUACGGGCGAAAGAUUUAUCGGGGUUUGAUGAGCCCGCGGUGGAUUAGCUAGUUGGUGGGGUAAAGGCCUACCAAGGCGACGAUCCAUAGCUGGGCAGAGAGGAUGAUCAGCCACAUUGGGACUGAGACACGGCCCAAACUCCUGCGGGAGGCAGCAGUGGGGAGUAUUGGGCGAUGGGCGCAGGCCUGGUCCAGCCAUGCCGCGUGAGUGAUGAAGGCCUUAGGGUUGUAAAGCUCUUUCACCGACGAAGAUAAUGACGGUAGUCGGAGAAGAAGCCCCGGCUAACUUCGGGCCAGCCGCCGCCGUAACAC
rnacentral:rRNA from 1 species